UCACUUGUCUUAAAUCCGUUCAUGUCACUGAACAUUGGAGCACAUGAAUGCAACUGCUCCAACCACCUUACCUGUGAUACAAGUGCUCUCUAGGUUAAUUUGGAAUAUGCGACGCGAACAAACCUAGAGAGAAUCAAGGAAGAGUGUGUGUGUUCCUCUUCUCUGAUUAGUUCCGACAUUUAUAGUGCACUUCUGCAAAUGUGUAUGUGUGUAUAUAUGUACAGUGUACUGCAUUAAUUCGCUGGGUAUAGUAGCGGCCCGACUUAUUGAAAAUAAGGAAAUACAGUGUUAAAGAGUUGAUACAAAAUUCUUAGAGUUCUAUGAAAAAAAAAAAAUUUUUGUCUCUUGCAAUUUUUCUGUAAAGUUAAUAAUAUUUGAGUAAAAAAAUAAACGUCGAUAAAUCAGUGUGAUGAGCGCGCCGUUAAUCUACACCAACGUAGGAAUGGAUCCCUUGGCGUUCGGCGCGCGCUACACACUCCUAUCAAAGCGCACACGUACGUGUUACGCGGAGGAGGCGAACAGCGCGAAGGGAGAAAAUAGUGGAGGCGCUCUCCAAUAUUCUGUCCUUAGUGCAAGGUGCACGAUUGAGAGAGAAAGUGUAACUGGUGAUGCUGGCUCAUGGUGUCCUUUCGCUGUCUCACACAUAUGAGACACUAUUUCUGCCGGUGCGUACAUAUGUCAUACACAAUACUAGUGUGGUACAAUAAUAGAGUAUGCAAUACCGUAUGUUCCAUCACGUUCCUAACAUAUCUUCUACUCAUUUCAACGGUACACUAAAAAGCGGCUUUCGGAUGAGUCAGCUCCAUUCUCCAGUUAUGUUCAAAUUCCCAGACGAGUGUUAUCCAGCAUGCCUAUUCUCUAACUUUAUAACGACGAUGUCGUUAUCGUUACGUAGCGACGGUUGUCGCUGAUGAUGCUAUAACGACGAGGUUAUUCUGUAAAGGCUAGCGAAACGAUAUUCAUACAAAAUACGAUUAAGACGUCGUUAUCGAAACGAGUAUAUUCAAUUUCAUAUAACUCUGUCGUCGUAGUAUCCAGCCAAUCUCCUAUAUUUCUUGAUGAGUUUAGGAACGUUAAAUAACAAGAAAAACUGGAAGAAUUCGACAGGGCAGAGCCACUCAACAACAAAUUGAAGCUCUAAUAACUUAUUUAAAACAAUAUUCUCAGCAUCUGGCAAAUUUACUAUGAACAGUAACAUACAAUUACAAGGAAGUUGGGAACUCUUAGUCACUUUCUUAAAUUCAUUAGGAUCUAAAGGCAAAGAAAAGGAUAUAAAGUCGUGGAAGACUACAUGGCGAGAUCUUAAAUGUAAAGUAUCAGAUAAAACAAAAAUUGAGAAAAGGAAGAGCAGCAACAGGAAACAUGUAUUAUGCGCUCAUAGAAUGCCAUUGAAGAAUUGACAGCAGGAAAUAUUUUAAAUGAAACACCAGCUCUAAUUAUCAUCCCAGAAUUAGAAGACAUAGCUAUUACAAAUGAAAGUGAAUUGAACAAUGAAGGAAGUGAAUCGAACAAUGGAGAAAAUUUCAUUGAACAGAACGUAAUAGAGGUUCCAUGUACGUCAUCAUCACAAGGUAGGCAUGCAGAACGUUUAGGAGUACAAUUAUAUGAUGCUCGAGAAUCUUUUGGGGCAAUAGCAGACAAACAUGCUGAAGCAAUGAUGCUAGCUGAGGCUAUGAAAUCGCAAGCUGAAACAUUAUUGCGAAUAGGCGAAGUUAUGGAUAGAAUGG